AUUGAACGCUGGCGGCAUGCCUUACACAUGCAAGUCGAACGGCAGCACGGGAGCAAUCCUGGUGGCGAGUGGCGAACGGGUGAGUAAUACAUCGGAACGUGCCCAAUCGUGGGGGAUAACGCAGCGAAAGCUGUGCUAAUACCGCAUACGAUCUACGGAUGAAAGCAGGGGAUCGCAAGACCUUGCGCGAAUGGAGCGGCCGAUGGCAGAUUAGGUAGUUGGUGAGGUAAAGGCUCACCAAGCCGUCGAUCUGUAGCUGGUCUGAGAGGACGACCAGCCACACUGGGACUGAGACACGGCCCAGCCUCCUACGGGAGGCAGCAGUGGGGAAUUUUGGACAAUGGGCGAAAGCCUGAUCCAGCCAUGCCGCGUGCAGGAUGAAGGCCUUCGGGUUGUAAACUGCUUUUGUACGGAACGAAACGGCCUUUUCUAAUAAAGAGGGCUAAUGACGGUACCGUAAGAAUAAGCACCGGCUAACUACGUGCCAGCAGCCGCGGUAAUACGUAGGGUGCAAGCGUUAAUCGGAAUUACUGGGCGUAAAGCGUGCGCAGGCGGUUAUGUAAGACAGUUGUGAAAUCCCCGGGCUCAACCUGGGAACUGCAUCUGUGACUGCAUAGCUAGAGUACGGUAGAGGGGGAUGGAAUUCCGCGUGUAGCAGUGAAAUGCGUAGAUAUGCGGAGGAACACCGAUGGCGAAGGCAAUCCCCUGGACCUGUACUGACGCUCAUGCACGAAAGCGUGGGGAGCAAACAGG
rnacentral:rRNA from 1 species